UACGGAAGGCAGCAGUGGGGAAUAUUGCACAAUGGGCGCAAGCCUGAUGCAGCCAUGCCGCGUGUAUGAAGAAGGCCUUCGGGUUGUAAAGUACUUUCAGUCGUGAGGAAGGUGUUAAGGUUAAUAACCUUAGCAAUUGACGUUAGCGACAGAAGAAGCACCGGCUAACUCCGUGCCAGCAGCCGCGGUAAUACGGAGGGUGCGAGCGUUAAUCGGAAUUACUGGGCGUAAAGGGCACGCAGGCGGUUAAUUAAGUUGGAUGUGAAAUCCCCGGGCUUAACCUGGGAAUGGCAUUCAAGACUGGUUAGCUAGAGUCUUGUAGAGGGGGUAGAAUUCCAUGUGUAGCGGUGAAAUGCGUAGAGAUGUGGAGGAAUACCGGCGGGCGAAGGCGGCCCCUGGGACAAAGGCUGACGCUCAUGUGCGAAAGCGUGGGGAGCGAAACAGGGAUUAGAUACC
rnacentral:rRNA from 1 species